rnacentral:rRNA from 1 species
UGAAUACGAGGCACUAAGGUGCUGAAGUAGUGUAUGUCAUACUUCCAAGAAAAGCUUGCACUAUCGUAAGAUAAAAAUGCCUGUACCAUAACCGACACAGGUGGGUAGGUAGAGUAUACUAAGGGGCGCGAGAUAACUCUCUCUAAGGAACUCGGCAAAAUAACUCCGUAACUUCGGGAGAAGGAGUGCCUUAUUCUAUAAGGUUGCAAUAACAAGAUCCAAGCAACUGUUUAUCAAAAACACAGGUCUCCGCUAAGUCGUAAGACGAUGUAUGGGGGCUGACGCCUGCCCAGUGCCAGAAGGUUAAAGAAGUCGGUUAGCAAUUGCGAAGCUGGUAACUGAAGCCCUGGUGAACGGCGGCCGUAACAAUAACGGUCCUAAGGUAGCGAAAUUCCUUGUCGGGUAAGUUCCGACCCGCACGAAAGGCGUAAUGAUUUGGAUACUGUCUCGGAGAGGGACUCGGUGAAAUAGACUUGUCUGUGAAGAUGCGGACUACCUGCACCAGGACAGAAAGACCCUAUGAAGCUUUACUGUAACUUGAAAUUGAAAUUGGACUUUAUUCGCGCAGUAUAGGUGGGAGGCGUUGAUUAUAAUCUUGUGGGAUUAUUGGAGCCAUUAGUGAGAUACCACUCUUGUAAUGUUAGAUUUCUAACUUUGAAUCAUGAUCUGGUCAAAGAACAGUUUCAGGCGGGCAGUUUGACUGGGGCGGUCGCCUCCUAAAUGGUAACGGAGGCGUACAAAGGUUUCCUCUGAACGGGUAGAAAUCGUAUCUAGAGUGUAAAGGCAUAAGGAAGCUUGACUGUGAGACCUACAAGUCGAGCAGGGACGAAAGUCGGUCUUAGUGAUCUGACGGUACUGAGUGGAAAGGCCGUCACUCAACGGAUAAAAGUUACUCUAGGAUAACAGGCUGAUCUCCCCCAAGAGUUCACAUCGACGGGGAGGUUUGGCACCUCGAUGUCGGCUCAUCGCAUCCUGGGGCGGUAGUACGUCCCAAGGGUUGGGCUGUUCGCCCAUGAAAGCGGUACGCGAGCUGGGUUCAGAACGUCGUGAGACAGUUCGGUCCAUAUCCGGUGUAGGCGUUAGAAUAUUGAGAGGAGCCUUCUUUAGUACGAGAGGACCGAGAAGGACAUACCUCUGGUGUACCAGUUAUCGUGCCAACGGUAAACGCUGGGUAGCUAUGUAUGGAGUGGAUAACCGCUGAAAGCAUCUAAGUGGGAAGCCCACCUCAAGAUAAGUAUUCUCAUC